rnacentral:rRNA from 1 species
GACGAACGCUGGCGGCGUGCUUAACACAUGCAAGUGGAGCGACGAACCAGGGCUUGCCCUGGGGCAGAGCCGCGAACGGGUGAGUAACACGUGGGUAACGUGCCCCGAUGAUCGGGACAACCCGGGGAAACCCGGGCUAAUACCGAAUGUGCUCCCCUCACACCAGUGAGGGAUGGAAAGGAAGCUUCGGCCUCCGCAUCGGGAUCGGCCCGCGGCCCAUUAGCUUGUUGGUGAGGUAACGGCUCACCAAGGCUGCGAUGGGUAGCUGGUCUGAGAGGACGAUCAGCCACACUGGGACUGAGACACGGCCCAGACUCCUACGGGAGGCAGCAGUGGGGAAUCUUGCGCAAUGCGCGAAAGCGUGACGCAGCAACGCCGCGUGGGGGAAGACGGCCUCGGUGUAACCC